GGCUCUCUCAAAGUCAGGCUUCAGGGAUCCAGACUCCGUGUAUCUUGUGGCUCUACCACCUUCAACUUGUGAUUGUUAAGGUCACAAUCCUCACUUGCAUCAAGGUGGUGAAUGUUGCAAGAACAUGACGGACAGCUAGUGGGAGGUUUUGCAGAUCAGGUUGGGAGCUGGCAUGCAUCACUUGUCACAUUUUGUCGGCUGGAAGUCAAGCACGUGGGCAUGUGUAACUGCAAGGACGGAUGGGAAAUGUCUCCGAGCUUUGUGCCCUGAAGAACAAGGACAGCCUUUUUAUUAAAGAGAGACUGCUGAAGAGACAGACGGAUGAAAAAAAUUUAAUAAGUCUUCCUUAGAAGGUUGAAUGCUGCAUAUUGUUAGAACUUGGAAAAUAUCUCCCACCUGGAACCAUCCAAGACACUGAAAAGCUGUGAAACUAUGAACAAACAGCAAAAUAGGAAAUGAAAAAUAUUCAUAGGGAUUUUUAAAAAUAGAAAUAUCUUGGCCUAAACACUAAAUUUGAAAAUGAAACUAUCCCAGCUUCUUUUAAAUACACGUCUUCAUUACUGAUUCUCUCCGAUGGAAACAUAUUUGGAUGCUUUCAACCAGACGCGUUCUCUGUGCAUCUAUCUCUCCAUCAGUAUAUUCCUGGCAUGAUCUUUGUCACUGAUACUUUCAUUUGGACAAGAUAGCCUUGUGUAUUAAGCAAAACCCAAAAUAUGCCAAAUGUGAUGAACUGUUUCAGCUUUGAAAACAUCAGCUCAGACCCUUCUUCUUUGGCAGCUGUUUGGGGGAAUGCAGCAAUUGGGCUCAUUGUGCCUGGACACCAGCCCCAGCCUCAGCUCACCAAUGGAGCUUGUGAAAAGUGUCUCAAGCAGUCUGCUCAGCCCAGGACUGGAGUACCACCCUGGGUUUGGCUUUGGCAGGUACAGCCCAGAAGGAGCUGGCAGCACAGGAGGAAACCUUCUCUAACCAGCUAGGGAGGGCCACAUCCAACGUGGAAGCUUCCCUAGAGGGGGACAUCUACCAACUCAGACAAUGACUGGAGGCGAAAUGGGCUGCUUCCAUUGUUUGCACGCAUAAGUAUAGUUCCCACAGUUGAGCAAUGGAAACCAAGGGAGUAUCUGCGCAACAGGAGAUGUUGACUUCAGUUUGCAUUCUCCACUGGUGCCCCUAGGCUCCUUCUGCUGUCACUCCCCACUCUCAAGAAUUCAAUGCCAGGAAUGUAAAUUGGUGCAGCCAGUAUGGAAGAUGGUGGAGAAACCUGUGGAGGUUCCUCAAAAAAUUAAAAAUGAAACUACCAUAUGAUUCAGCAAUCUCAUUUUUGGGUAUAUAUCUGAAAGAAAUGAAAUCACUAUCUUGAAGAGAUAUCUGCACUCCUGUGUUCAUUGCAGCAUUAUUUAUAAUAGCCAAGAUGUGGAAAUGACCUAAGUGUCCAUCAUGGAUGAACGGAUAAAGAAAAUGUGGCAUAUAUAUACAAUGGAAUAUUAUUCAGUACUAGAAAGAAGGAGAUCUUGCCAUUUGUGACAAGAUGGAUGAAACUUGAGGGCAUUAUGCUAAGUGAAAUAAGUCAGUCAGAGUAGGACUAAUACUGUAUAAUCUCACUUAUAUGUAGAAUCUAAAAAAACCUGAACUCAUAGAAACAGAGAGUAGACUGGUGAUUGUCAGGGGUGAAGGGGUGGAGGAAAUGGGAAAAUGUUGGUCAAAGGGUACAAACUUCCAGUUAUAAGAUAAAUAAGUUCUGGGGAUCUGAUAUAGAGCAUGGUGACUAUAGUCAAAAGUCCAGUAUUAUAUACUUGCAAGUUGCUAAGAGAGUACAUCUUAAACGUUCUCACCAAAAAAAAAAGGCAAAUAUGUGAGGUGAUGUGUUAACUGAUCUUUUU
rnacentral:lncRNA from 1 species